CCGUGCCCUCCAGACAAGCAGGGGUCAGCACCGUGCCCUCCAGACAAGCAGGGGGCAGCACCGUGCCCUCCAGACAAGCAGGGGGCAGCACCGUGCCCUCCAGACAAGCAGGGGGCAGCACCGUGCCCGCCAGACAAGCAGGGGGCAGCACCGUGCCCGCCAGACAAGCAGGGGGCAGCACCGUGCCCUCCAGACAAGCAGGGGGCAGCACCGUGCCCUCCAGACAAGCAGGGGGCAGCACCGUGCCCUCCAGACAAGCAGGGGGCAGCACCGUGCCCGCCAGACAAGCAGGGGGCAGCACCGUGCCCGCCAGACAAGCAGGGGGCAGCACCGUGCCCUCCAGACAAGCAGGGGGCAGCACCGUGCCAUUCGCUCUCUCGGCGUGAAGGAGACGUGGUGGGGGGGAAGAGAGAGAGAGAGAGAGAGAGAGAGAGAGAGAGAGAGAGAGAGAGAGAGAGAGAGAGAGAGAGAGAGAGAGAGAGAGAGAGAGAGAGAUUUACAUAGAUUUACAUAGAAAAUCAGACCACACAGACCCCAUGGUCCAGACUAGGUGGUCUGUCCUUAAACCUAAGUGAUUUUACAUUAAUCAGAUGGCUCCAAAACGUUGCAUUUCUUCUCUAGUUGAUAUUAAGUUGAGAGAGAGAGAGAGAGAGAGAGAGAGAGAGAGAGAGAGAGAGAGAGAGAGAGAGAGAGAGAGAGAGAGAGACGUUUGGUAGAACAAAAAGCAUUAGGAACAUGAUCUCAAAUUUACGAAGAUUCCCGUACACACACACACACACACACACACACACACACACACACACACACACACACACACACACACACACACAGACACACACACACACACACACACACACACACACACACACACACACACACACACACACACACACACACACACACACACACACACACACACACACACACACACACACACACACACGCAAAGAACAUUUUCCUGGACCGUAAAUUUUUUCCAAACGGCUCCAAGCAAUAGCUAUAUUUUAUUGUUUUGUUGUUUGUUUGUUGUUUUUGGUGAUGGCGAGGAGGAGGAGGAGGAGGAGGAGGAAGAGGAGGAGGAGGAGGGGAAGGAAGGAGGAAGAGUGAACAUGAAGUAAAUCUCUAAGCGGGUUUUGUUGAUUCAAUAAUUUCCUUUCUUUUUUAUACUUUUUUUACUUUUUUGCGUCAUAUUUCUGGUGCCAGUGUUCACUUUUUUGCGUCAUAUUUCUGGUGCCAGUGUUCACUUUUUUGCGUCAUAUUUCUGGUGCCAGUGUUCACUUUUUUGCGUCAUAUUUCUGGUGCCAGUGUUCACUUUUUUGCGUCAUAUUUCUGGUGCCAGUGUUCACUUUUUUGGGUCAUAUUUCUGGUGCCAGUGUUCACUUUUUUGCGUCAUAUUUCUGGUGCCAGUGUUCACUUUUUUGCGUCAUAUUUCUGGUGCCAGUGUUCACUUUCAGCUUGUUGCGUGUUUUCCCUCCGUGAUUGUUCCUGCCAAGGGCUCGUCUUAUUAUUAGGUUUUUCAAUUAAAUCAUGUUUUUUUUCUUACUUCAGUCAGCUUCAUUUUUUCAUUAUUUUUUUUGUUUCAUUGCGAUGAUUUUCUUUUGGCUUAUAUCCAUCCCACGUAUGUCACCAUGUUAAAACUUCCCCACAGUAUUGUUCGCCACACACUCCAGUUAGCCUGUUACACAUAUCCUACGUGUGUCAC